rnacentral:rRNA from 1 species
GACGAACCGUGCGAACGUUAUUCGGAAUCACUGGGCUUAAAGCGCGUGUAGGCGGGGCGGCACGUCGGUCGCUGAAAUCCCCCGGCUUAACCGGGGAACGGGCGCCGAUACGACCGCCCUGGAGGGACGUAGGGGGGGCUGGAACUUCCGGUGGAGCGGUGAAAUGCGUUGAGAUCGGAAGGAACGCCCGUGGCGAAAGCGAGCCCCUGGACGUCUACUGACGCUGAGACGCGAAAGCCAGGGGAGCGAACGGG